GGAGAGAUGGCUCAGUGGGUAAGAGCACUGGCUGCUCUUCCAGAAGACCUGGGUUCAAUUCCCAGCACCC
rnacentral:tRNA from 1 species